rfam:Salmo salar isolate Sally breed double haploid chromosome ssa24, whole genome shotgun sequence.
GGCCCCAUAAAGUGUAAGUCGCUCUGGAUAAGAGCGUCUGCUAAAUGACUAAAA